UACAGACCCAAGACUACAGACCCAAGACUACAGACCCAAGACUACAGACCCAAGACUACAGACCCAAGACUACAGACCCAAGACUACAGACCCAAGACUACAGACCCAAGACUACAGACCAUAGACUACAGACCAUAGACUACAGACCAUAGACGAUAGUUUUUCCACCCCACCUAGAGAAAAUUGCACCCAUGAUAUGAC